rnacentral:rRNA from 1 species
UACGUAGGGACCGAGCGUUGUCCGGAUUCAUUGGGCGUAAAGAGCUCGUAGGCGGCUGUUCAAGCCGAACGUGAAAACUCGGAGCUCAACUCCGAGCCUGCGUUCGAUACUGGACGGCUAGAGUCUGGUAGGGGGAUCUGGAAUUCCUGGCGUAGCGGUGGAAUGCGCAGAUAUCAGGAGGAACACCGGUGGCGAAGGCGGGAUCCUGGGCCAGUACUGACGCUGAUGCGCGAAAGCUAGGGUAGCAAACGGG